UCCAUGUUCAGGAUCCAAACCUGCAAAUCCCAGGCUGCCAAAGCAGAGCAUGAGAGAGGUUUUAAGGAGAGUUGUGCUUUAUUCAAGCUUGUGGUCUCCUAGAACCUUCCAGCUACUCUCCUGGGGUAUCUGAUGUCAUGCCCAGCCAAAGAGAGUAAGAAAUCCACCCCUUUCUCCACAGAUCACCCUAGGGCUGGGGCUAUGAUCAUGAAAUCUUUGAACAGGAAGGGUACAGUGCUUGGUGGGGUGCAUUGUUCAGAUCCCAGCCCCGACUCCCCCUUCAAGACCGAAGGGCUCAUUCCUCCAGCUGCCAGGGUGUCAGCUGCUGGCAGUGCUCAACCAAGUCCCUCUCCAGGAAUUGCCCUCAGCCCAAGAGAACUGCCUCACCCCAAAACACACUCCCUUCCCUGGGGGCAGACUGCAUUCAAUGACUGACCAGUUGAGGGUACAAAGGCUCAGUGUCGUCCCCCUAAUUUGGGACAACUCUGAAGGGCUGCAGCAGUUCCAAGGCUCCCGGGGGAUCAGGAGAAGCCUCUGUUGUGACUGCUUCACAGUUCAGUACCGUCUCUGCCCACUCUGGCUUCCCUCGCUCUCUCACAGAUGUUGACCCUAAAGGCACCCCCGCCCCCGAAACCAUCUGCAUACAAAUCUCCAUCUCAGGGACUGUUUCCUGGCAGCCCAACCCAAGACAAAGGGUCCGGAGCUCAUCUGACACAGCCCUUCCCUUGACAGAUGAGGAAACUGUGGCCCACAGAGGGGCUGGAUACCCUUAAGUCAUUUGGGGAGUUAAUGUGAAAUUUAGUUCCCAGAUCCAGACUCUCAGCAUUGGAACAGUUCUGGAAGGUUCCCUGAUCUAAGCAGAAAGAAAUGUAACCAAGAGGCUAUUGGGUAAUUCUCACAGCAUUAACUGUGGUGAUGAUAGAGUUAAAGAACUAUAACUGGACCCUGGAGGCCAUUGCCACGUUGCUCUGUUGCCCUGGGAACUCAGUCUUGCUGCAGCUACCACCAUCCGUGAGAAGAUUCCCUGUGGCCCCAACUUCUAGGUGUCAGGAGUCCCCAAUUAAAAGUUACCAUGGGUGCCUCUAUUGGGUGCCCAUGACCCAGCACAGGACAGGUGGAGUCAGCCAGACUAGCUCAGUGGCUCUCAACCUCGCCUGCAUGUUAAAAGCAUCUGGGAGCUUUAAGAGAUCUUGAUGCCCAGGGUGCUCUCCAGACCAAUGAAAUCAGAAUUUCUGGGCACAGAACCCAGGCAUUGUUGGUUUUUUUAAAGCUCUCUGGGUGGUUCUGAUCAGAAGUUGAGAACCUCCACUGUAGGGGAAACCAGUGAUGAAAGUACUGGGGAAUCUUCCCUCUUAGUUCCUUGUGGUAUCAGGAAGGGUUUGAUCAAGGAAGCAGAACCACUCUGAGUAAUACAGAAUGAGGGAUUUAUUGUGGGAUUGGGCCUGACAUAAUUGUGGGAGCUGGUUAAGUUACCCAUGUAAGACCGUUGACCUGCAUCUACUGGUGGGUCUGAAGGCAGCAGAGCCAGCAGUUGGGAUGAAAAGAUGGACAUUGUAGUGGUUAUCUAUUGCUGUGUAACAAAUUACGUCAAAAUACCAUAACUUGAAACAACAAACAUUUACUGUCUUGCAGUUUGUGAGGGUCAGAAAUCUGGGAGUGGCUUAGCUGAGUGGUUCUGGCUGAGAGUCUGUCAUGGGGGUGCAGGUAAGGUGUCAGCUGGAGGCUGUGGUCAUCUGAAAGCUGGAAUGGGGCUGGAGCAUCUGCUUCUGACGUGGCUCGCUCAUGUGUCUGUCUGUUGACGGGAGGCCUCAAGUGCCUUGCUGGCUGCUGGCCAAAGGCCUCAGUUUCUCCCCAUGUGAACCUCUCCACAGGGCUCCUGAUGUGGCAGCUGGCUUUCCCCAGCUCGAGUGAUCUCAGAGAAAAAGAGAGAGAAGGAAAGAGAGAGCAAGACGGAAAGCACAGUGUCUUUUAUAACCUAAUUCAUAAGUGACAUCCCGUUGCUUCUGCCAUAUUCACAGUGGUCACACACACUAACCUGGUACAAUGUGGAGGGGAUGACUCAAGGGGAUAAAUACCAGGAGGUGGGAUUCACGGCUGGGGGCAUCUUGGAGGCUGGUGUGGGGAAGUGCAAAGACAAACUGGAACCCACCAUGGCAGCUAGAACCCAUAUUUCACCGCCUCUAACCUCCAUGGUAUGGGUCACCUGCAGGAAAAGCCGGCGCCCUCAGCCACGACGGCACGGGCACCUGCCCCAGGAUCUGGAGAAGCCAAAGGAGAAGAUUCAGCAAAAGCCGAAGCAGCUAUGGGCCUGGCUGCUCCUCAGGGCCAAAAAGCCGUUCCAGCCUCCAGCCAUUUGGGCCUUCCCAGGCCAGGAGUGAGUGAGCCUUGCACGAUUUCAACUCUCAACCUUCAAGGCAACCCAGUCGAUACCAAAUGGAGCAGAGAGGGAGGCAGAGGGAGACGACAGAGGAAAGGAGAAGGUCACGUGAUCACAGAGGCAGUGAUUGGACUGAUGCAGCCACAAGCCAAGGAAGGCCACAGCCACCAGGAGCUGGAAGAGGCAC